GUGGGGAAUCUUAGACAAUGGGGGAAACCCUGAUCUAGCCAUGCCGCGUGAGCGAUGAAGGCCUUAGGGUUGUAAAGCUCUUUCAGCUGGGAAGAUAAUGACGGUACCAGCAGAAGAAGCCCCGGCUAACUCCGUGCCAGCAGCCGCGGUAAUACGGAGGGGGCUAGCGUUGUUCGGAAUUACUGGGCGUAAAGCGCACGUAGGCGGAUCAGAAAGUCAGAGGUGAAAUCCCAGGGCUCAACCUUGGAACUGCCUUUGAAACUCCUGGUCUUGAGGUCGAGAGAGGUGAGUGGAAUUCCGAGUGUAGAGGUGAAAUUCGUAGAUAUUCGGAGGAACACCAGUGGCGAAGGCGGCUCACUGGCUCGAUACUGACGCUGAGGUGCGAAAGCGUGGGGAGCAAACAGGAUUAGAAACCCUGGUAGUCC
rnacentral:rRNA from 1 species